rnacentral:misc_RNA from 1 species
GGAAAAUAUGUAGCCCAAAAAGGACCAUAAAAAUCUUUAAAUAAAAAAAAAUUAACACAUCCACAGCAAUUAAGGUGUACUUUGCAAAGUCUAAGUGCUUACUUGUGCCAAAAUAUUGGGUCAAAUGGAGAAUAAAAAGACUUAAUGCCCUUCUGAUUUUCCCUUCCUUGGGUGCAAAACACCAGAAAUUUUAACAAGACAAAAAUGCAAUAAAACUAUCAGAGAGCCUCUAUUUCAAAACUCAAAAGUAGGAUGGUCCACAAUUCUUGGAGGCUCUUAACCAAAUCGAAAAAUCGAACUGAACCGAUUCAAAACUGAAAUUUGAUUCCUCUUUUGGUUC